GUCAUUCCAUGGAGUUCAGAACUUUGGGUGUGAGAAUUUAUUUUUAUUCUUUUAUCUGGAGAAGUUGGAAUUUAGAAAGCAAAAAAUAGAGUUUUAACUCGUGGCAAAUGUGUGACCUUGGUCUAGGAACUUAAGAUUCCCGACAGCUUUUGAGCACUACGUAACUUUCAUCCAAAUGACACAAAAACCCUACAAACCAUCCAAAAUUUACAUUCCUAUGCCACUCAUUUAAUCUCCAACACACUUUCCUCCCCUGCUAAAGUCCACAUCAUUCACCUAGCACGCAUGUGCACGAAAACCCCCUAUUGAGUCCUGACAACGAAACUUGUAAAUAACACGCAUCAAACCCCGGGACCGAUUCGGCCCACCCGGAGCAACUAAAGAUCGACUACUUUCCAUGCCGAACCAAAUUCCAAACUGAAAACUCUAUGCAACAAACAACAGAAUCUGAAUACGAACGGUAGCUUAGGUUCUUCAGAACCAAUUUCUUUCGUUCCCUGAUUCUGCGAAAGAGCUCUUUUCUUUUUCCUCUUCUACUGUUAAAGUUCGAGCUAUUGUGCACUUCAGUUACAGUCAAAAGAAUGAUUUACAAUUUUUUUGAAGGAAUAAACUAAUUUUUUCGUCGGCUGAAAUAAGUCAUAGAAUUAUAAGCUCUCCAAGCUUGUAUAUGUAUCUAUGGUUACAGUUGCAGAUCUCUGUAAGCUCUGCAUAAUUCGAUUGAAUUAGAGUUGGUGAACUGGAGAUCUUGUUGAGAGGUUGUUUAAGCAUUGAUCCUGACUUCCCGUACACUGGAAAAGAAAAUGGCACAGAGUAGCUGGGAAGCUGACAAGAUGCUUGAUGUUUAUAUUCAUGAUUAUUUGUUGAAAAGAAAGUUGCAUGCUUCUGCAGAAGCUUUUAUGACUGAAGGAAAGGUUGCCACAGAUCCAGUAGCAAUUGAUGCACCGGGAGGAUUUCUCUUCGAGUGGUGGUCUGUCUUCUGGGACAUAUUUAUUGCUAGGACAAAUGAGAAACAUUCUGAGGCUGCUGCAGCUUAUAUAGAGGCACAACAAAUUAAAGCAAGGGAACAACAGCAACUACAAAUGCAGCACCUGCAACUAAUGCAGCAGCGAAAUGUGCAGUUGCAACGAAGGGAUCCCAGUCAUCCAGCUCUUAGUGGUUCUGUAAAUACUAGUAACUCUGAAGGAAUGAUGGGACAGCCAUCAGCCAGUGUCUUGGCGAUGAAAAUGUAUGAAGAGCGUGUGAAACACCCUCAUUCCAUGGAUUCAGAGACAUCAACAGCACUGAUUGAUGCCAAAAGGAUGGCCCUUCUGAAAACACAGGCCAAUCAUCAAGGCCAGUUGGUGCAAGGUAGCCCUGGAAAUAUGUCAGCAACUUUGCAACAAAUCCAGUCACGAACACCGCUUAUAACUGAUAUCAAAAGCGAGGUUAAUUUGGGUGGAAAUCAGAAAAGCUUGCCUAUGGAUCCCUCAUCCAUCUAUGGGCAGGCAAUUUUACAACCUAAAUCAGGACUAGGUGGUGCUGGACUGAAUCAGGGUGUCUCUGGUCUUCCAUUAAGGGGUUGGCCUCUAACUGGCAUUGAUCAGUUACGACCAAGUUUGGGUGUACAAAUGCAAAAGCCCAAUCUGCAGACUCAAAAUCAAUUCCUUUUGCCAUCACAACAACAGCAAGUCUUGGCACAGGCUCAGGUACAAGGAAACCUUGGAAAUUCAACAAACUACGGGGACACAGAUCCUCAUAGGUUUGGUCAAUUGUCUGGGGGUAACUUGAAUGCAAAAGAUGGUCAAUCUGCUAGAAAUGAUGGAUCCAUAUGCUCCCCUGUGCAAUCAAGUUCUCCAAAGAUGAAGAUAGGUCAAAUGUCACAUUCUUCCUCUCAACAACAGGACCAAUUGCAGCAGCAGCCACAGCAACUGCAACAGAAUAACAGAAAAAGGAAACAACACACUUCUUCUGGAGCAGCUAACAGCACUGGCACAGGAAACAUAGUUGGCCCUUCACCAAAUUCACCACCGUCAACUCACACACCUGGUGAUGCAAUAACUACUGCAACCAGUUUGCAGCAUGUUAAUAGUGUUUCUAAAAGCAUGAUAUAUGGUGCAGAUACAACAGUGGGCCUUACAUCAUCUUCCAAUCUGUUGGAAGACAUAGAAAGGUUCGAUCCUUUGGAAGAAAAUAUGGAGACGCUGCUUCCACAUGAUGGAAGUGAUGGAAGGGACAUCUAUGGAACCAUUAAACAAAAUCCUGCUGAGCACCAAAAGGAGUCUACUAAAGGCUUGACUUUUGCUGAGGUUGGUUGUAUACAGACCAGAAAUAGCAAAGUUACUUGCUGUCAUUUUUCUUCUGAUGGGAAGUUGCUGGCUAGUGCUGGGCAUGACAAGAAGGUGGUGCUUUGGAAUAUGAAUACCCUACAAACAGAGAGUACGACAGAGGAACACAAAUUGGUUAUUACUGAUGUUCGCUUUAGGCCAAAUUCAUCUCAGUUGGUGACUGCUUCUGUUGAUAAAUCUGUGCGGUUAUGGGAUGCAGCCAAUCCAAGCUACUGUGUGCAAGCAUAUAAUGGACACACUUCACCUGUGAUGUCCCUUGAUUUCCACCCCAAGAAGACAGACUUGUUUUGUUUUUGUGAUAAUGACAAUCAAAUUUGCUAUUGGAAUCUUAACACAUUCUCAUGCACGCGAAUGUCCAAGGGAGGUAUGGCCCAAGUAAGAUUCCAACCGAGAAUUGGACAUUUUCUGGCGGCAGUGUCAGAUAAAGUUGUCUCCAUCUUUGAUGUGGAAACUGAUAGGCAAACAUUAACAUUUCAGGGGCAUUCAGAAAUAGUAAACUAUAUAUGCUGGGACACAAAUGGAGAUUAUUUGGCAUCUGUGAGUCGCAACUUGGUAAAAGUAUGGUCAGUGGCUUCGGGGGAGUGCAUUCAAGAAUUCAGUUCUGGUGGGAACCAGUUCCAUUCUUGUGUCUUUCAUCCAAGUUAUUCCACUCUUUUGGUGAUUGGAGGAAUUUCGGUAAUUCUACGUGUUCUAUUUAUGGUUUCUGUUUCCUUUUAUGGAGGUAUGUUUGAGGCUUGGCUAGUGACCUCAACAUGAAGUAGUUAUGUUUUCUUAGUGAGUGGUCUUUAAGGGGAAAGUUAUUUUGCUUUUCUUUGAAACAAUAAUUUAUGGAUGCGAUGGACUAGAUUCAAAUCAACAUAGCUACCCUAGAUAUUUUAGGAUGUAAAACUACUAUUUCAUUCUUUUCAUGAUAUAUUCCAAAUUUUCUCUUCUUUGGUACAUGACAUAUUCCAAUUCGCAAAUGACUGAGUUUACGGACUUCACACGAAUGAUAUUCAAUUGCAUUAUAGCUCCCAGCGGCACCUUUGUUUAGCAUGCGAAAGUCUUUGGAGCUCUGGAACAUGGCCGAGAAUAAGAGCAUGACAAUUUCGGCUCAUGGGAAUAUAAUUUCAGCAUUGGCACAGUCACCUGUCACGGGAAUGGUUGCUUCGGCG